CCAUUUUUCUAAAUCAUUUUAGGGCAUGAGCCCAGAAAUGAGGCAAAUCCAAAUCUCAGGUGGGCCGCACCAUUGAAAACAGUGUGAUUCAAUGGCCACCACUAAAAACUUUCUAGUGCCCACCUUAAAGCCCAUGAUCAUGUUUAUUUCCCAUACAACAUGUUGAUUAUGUUACGAUGACUUGGAUGAAGACAAAAGACAAAUAUCAGCUUUAUCCAAAACUUUUAUAUCCCAUAAGAAGUUUUUAAUGGUAGGCGUUCAUCACCACUAUUUUUUGUGGUGUGGUACACUUAAGAUUUUGAUCUACCUCGGUUCUUGUCAGAAAAUGAUCUGUAAAAAUGCAUAGAUAAUGUGGAUUAAACACAUACGAUAUGGUAGAGCCUACAGACCACCUUAUGCAAUCCGGUCGAAGGUAUAGCUUUGGUGUCUUUGCCCCAUGCGGAAUGCCCGUGAGAAGUUCAUGUAGUACAGAAAUGAUGUGGGGCCGCAGAAAUUUCCUACACAAAUCCAAUCUGUCCAUCCAUUUUUUAAGAUCACAUACAAGUACAGGAGUCUAAAGAUGGGGCAGAUCGAAAAUUCAUGUAGACCACUUCACAUUAAAGGACGGGAAUGUAAAUGUCGGCGGUUGAAACCUUCUUAGAGCGGAGCAUGAGUUUUAUUGGUUAUCCAAACGGUUCAUAGGAUUAUUAUUACUCAGAAAAAUUGUAGGCACAAAUAUCAUCCUGAUACAAAACUUCUGUGGCCCUCACGAAGUUUCCAUUGGCGACAUCCAAUUCCUACUUUUUCAGAUGGUGUGGUCCAUAUAAAUUUUGGAUCUCACUGAUUUUCAGAUUCUUGUUCUUUCGUUCUCUUGAAAAAUUGAUGGACGGAGUAGAUUUGUUAUGAAAAUCUUUA